rnacentral:rRNA from 1 species
UACAGAGGUGGCAAGCGUUGUUCGGAAUUACUGGGCGUAAAGGGCGCGUAGGCGGUUCGAUAAGUCCCGUGUGAAAUCCCUCGGCUCAACUGAGGAACUGCACGGGGAAACUGACGGGCUUGAGUUCGGGAGAGGGAAGCGGAAUUCCGGGUGUAGCGGUGAAAUGCGUAGAUAUCCGGAGGAACACCGGUGGCGAAGGCGGCUUUCUGGUCUGUAACUGACGCUGAGGCGCGAAAGCGUGGGGAGCAAACAGG